GCAGUGGCAAGUCAGAGAAGGAUGUGAAGAAAAAUAUGAAGAAAUACUAAGAAGGAAAUAAACUAGGACUCUCCUGAACAAAAAGACCCCUGUUGACAUUUUAAAAGCAGAAGUCGUACAUGUACAAAUUAGAAAGUAUAAACGGCACAGAAAGGCACAAGAUGAAAAAAAGAUAUCCCCUGUCCGUCUCUCUCCCCAGAGUGUUCAUAUGGUUUUAUGCAGGAGAAGAUUUUGCAGAUCCUUACUCCGCCGUGAGGGCCACUGUCCCUGCUGACUCUUCGUGGAUGACACUGAUGACAUUGCCCUCGUCAUCAUGAUGCAAGGGCAGCCUUUCAUCAGCUCCCGGCAUCAGGACCACUUCUCUCUUUAUCAAGCACUCACCCAAGGUCAGCCGUCAUAUAAUCCUAGCCACAACCCAGCCUUACCUGGAGAGAGAACCCAGCCAGGUCUCCUGGUUCCCCAGCCGGGGCUGCUCCCAGAGCACCCCUCUCCUCUCACAGACCAGCCUCCCAUCUCCGAAAGACUUAGUGAGGAUUAUAAAAUAGACCCAUCAAGCCGAGAUGAAGCAGCUGAGACGCCCAAGUCAGGAGAAGGGCAGCCAGCCCACGUGGUCCUGGCCCAGUGCUGGCUUCAAGCAAAGGAAGGCUCUGGCAUUAGCAAGAAUGACUGUGAACACAGCUGACUUCAUGGGUGUGCAACCUUGCAGUUGCUCGGGACCCCACGCCCAGAAGGGUCCCACAUUUGGGUUAAUGCUCUGCUGCCGCCAUCUUGAAAUUCUCAAUCAUUUCUAACGAGGAGCCCUGAAUUUUCACUUUGCACUGAGCCUUGCAAAUUAUGUGGCUGGUCCUGACCUUUUCCAUGGAAGGCGUUAAUCUUCGAGCAAGAGACAGGCCAGGCAGGGAGAUGGGGGGAGUGAAGAGCUGGGCAGCAGCCAUGGAGAGCCAAGCAGGGGUCAGCAAGCUGCAGAGCCACCUCAGGGGCCCCUGGGGUCCAGGCAUUUAAGGGGUAAAUGCUUGCUUGUUGCAGAAACAUAACUAUUCAGAGAAAUUCUUUUUCUUUUCUUCUUUUUUUUUUGGCCACAUGCGCGGCUUGUGGGAUCUUAGUUCCCCGACCAGUGAUCGAACCCGCGUCCCCUGCAGUGGAAGCACAGAGUCCUAACCACUGGACCACCAGGGAAUUCCUCUUCAGAGAAAUUGUAAUGACACAUAACAAAGGUUUCCAUGUUGUAACUUUGUUUUACCGUGAUGUUGACCGUUUAUUCUCUUCCCAAACUUUUGCCUGGUUUCAUGUUCAGGUAAAAGCUAAGAAGUGUUUGAAAGGAAAUUCAACCAACAAACUUGUAAAGAUAAUUUUUCAUUCAAUAUGCCAAACAAGACACUACUAUUUAACAGCAAGCCAUACUACAUGCAAUACAUUUUUGAUGGUUUAAAAAGCAACAAAGUGACUUUAGAACAUAAAGGAAUACUUAAAUAUUACUCACAGAAGAAGAAAUAGCUAAAUGUCCUCUUGUAUCUGAAAAAGACUCAAAACGUUCUAGACUUUUUUUUCUUUUGGCCCGAUUAGGAAAGGAGAAAUAACUAAUAAACUAUGUAAAUACAUUAGUUAAAAGAAAACAAGAUAAAGAAACAGGAAAUAAAUCAACUAUACUUCAAUUUUUUAAAAAAAGAUAGAACUUUUCUUUUAUGCCCACACACAAAAAAGGAAGAGACGGGAAGGAACAGAAUGUCAGAGCCAGCCUGCUAAGUCUGGUGAGGAAGCUCAUUGCAACUACUAACACAAACCGAAAGUCUGCUGUUUACUAAAGUAGGAGGAUGUGUAACAACUGUAGCUUUAAUUCCAUAUAAACGGAGCUAAAAAUGCACUACAGCUUGUGGUCACUUGCUAGCUACACGCAGGCAGGUAUUUCGGUAUUUGUUUUUCUUUGUUCACUAAUAAAAAAUCAGCUAAUUCUAAAAAACAAAACAAAACAGGAAAAAAAACUUGCCUUCUUGAUAGCUCCAUCUUCCCAGCUUGUCUUCCUGAAAGCUUAUACUGUGCCCACAACCAGCCAGAAGAACAUUUGGACUCAUUAAACUUGCCCACCCCUCCAGCCCAAGAAGCUGAAGUGCUUGGGACAACAGGUCUCCUCUGGCUGGACCUCGGGGUGAAACACCUUAGAAGGGGAACAGCAUUCCUCCUCAGCUGCUGUCCCCACCCACUCGCCAGCCUUGAGGGAGAGGGGCCGGGGAGG